UCCGUAGGUGAACCUGCGGAAGGAUCAUUACCGAGUUCAUGCCCUCACGGGUAGACCUCCCACCCUUUGUAUACCUUACCUUUUGUUGCUUUGGCGGGCCGCCUAGCUACUGGCUUCGGCUGGUAAGUGCCCGCCAGAGGACCCCAAACCCAAACCCAUUUAUAGUGUCGUCUGAGCAAAAGUUUAAUAUAUAAAACUUUCAACAACGGAUCUCUUGGCUCUGGCAUCGAUGAAGAACGCAGCGAAAUGCGAUAAGUAAUGUGAAUUGCAGAAUUCAGUGAAUCAUCGAAUCUUUGAACGCACAUUGCGCCCCUUGGUAUUCCGAGGGGCAUGCCUAUUCGAGCGUCAUUAUCACCCCUCAAGCUCCGGCUUGGUGUUGAGGCCUGCUGUAAAGGCACCU
rnacentral:misc_RNA from 1 species